AUUAGGUCUUUCCAGCUUUCCGUGGAAAGACCUAUUGAUUUUGUUCUGAUUAUUAGGUCUUUCCACUUUUCCGUGGAAAGACCUAUAGGUUUUGUUCUGAUUAUUAUUAUUUUUCUUCUUCCGCCUAAAUUUUUUUCUUGCGUAGUUUUGUAGUUUCAAAAGAUGUCGCUUAGAUAUUUGGAAUAUGAUAUCGUAUAGUUUAUACGCUUUAAAAAUGACAACCGCGUAACAAAAUACUUAACCUUGUAAGAGUUAUCUCCCCAAACACUGUUUUUCUUGUGGCCACUACUCCUUCGCAACCGUAAAAGAUUACGACAAAUUUAUUUUACCAAAUUGCUCGUUACAUCUUCAGGAUUAGGAUAUUCAUUUGGACCGAAGCUAU
rnacentral:lncRNA from 1 species